CCUUCGACCAUGCCAAAUUCCAAAAUUCUUGCGUCGUUCGUCGGUCGUCGACAUCGACGUCAUUUCGCCCGCCAUCCUCUGCCUCUGCCUCUGCCUCCGCCCCUGCCUCUGCCCCUCUCCACUCCGGUCCGGUCCGCACUGCUCCGGGCUAUACGUAAAUAUUUACACAUGUCUUACAAGAGCUGGCAAUUUUUCGCUGUCGGAUAUAGCGUCGUGGGAGGAGUGUGUAUGUGUACGGAUUGCGAUUUAAAUGGAUUUGUCUCAUUGCAUUCAUUGCUCCCGAUUCGAUACGAAACGGUCCAAUCCGAUGCGAUCCGAUCCGAUCCGAUCCGACAGUUCAAUGAAGUGGCCGGAGGAAGGAGAAGCCGUAUGUUAUACGAAUCAGGAAUGCAGAUCUUUAUAGAUUGAUCAAGGGAGCGUACAUAUGUACAUACGAGUGGAUCCUUUUGGUGGGGAGUGCAAUCAGCGCCAGUGCCAGUGCCAGCGCCAGUGCCAGCGCCAGCUGCCUUCGAAUCUUCAGUUUGGAGAGCACGACAUCAUAACAAUAAAAAAAUACUAACAAUUUG